rnacentral:rRNA from 1 species
GGGACACGUGGUAUCCUGUCUGAAUAUGGGGGGACCAUCCUCCAAGGCUAAAUACUCCUGACUGACCGAUAGUGAACCAGUACCGUGAGGGAAAGGCGAAAAGAACCCCGGCGAGGGGAGUGAAAAAGAACCUGAAACCGUGUACGUACAAGCAGUGGGAGCACGCUUCGGCGUGUGACUGCGUACCUUUUGUAUAAUGGGUCAGCGACUUAUAUUCUGUAGCAAGGUUAACCGAAUAGGGGAGCCGAAGGGAAACCGAGUCUUAACUGGGCGUUAAGUUGCAGGGUAUAGACCCGAAACCCGGUGAUCUAGCCAUGGGCAGGUUGAAGGUUGGGUAACACUAACUGGAGGACCGAACCGACUAAUGUUGAAAAAUUAGCGGAUGACUUGUGGCUGGGGGUGAAAGGCCAAUCAAACCGGGAGAUAGCUGGUUCUCCCCGAAAGCUAUUUAGGUAGCGCCUCGUGAAUUCAUCUCCGGGGGUAGAGCACUGUUUCGGCAAGGGGGUCAUCCCGACUUACCAACCCGAUGCAAACUGCGAAUACCGGAGAAUGUUAUCACGGGAGACACACGGCGGGUGCUAACGUCCGUCGUGAAGAGGGAAACAACCCAGACCGCCAGCUAAGGUCCCAAAGUCAUGGUUAAGUGGGAAACGAUGUGGGAAGGCCCAGACAGCCAGGAUGUUGGCUUAGAAGCAGCCAUCAUUUAAAGAAAGCGUAAUAGCUCACUGGUCGAGUCGGCCUGCGCGGAAGAUGUAACGGGGCUAAACCAUGCACCGAAGCUGCGGCAGCGACGCUUAUGCGUUGUUGGGUA